rnacentral:rRNA from 1 species
AUUGAACGCUGGCGGCAGGCCUAACACAUGCAAGUCGAACGCGUGGCGGAGGGGUGAGUAAGGUCUGGGCAACUGCCUGACGGAGGGGGAUAACUACUGGAAACGGUAGAUAAUACCGCAUACCAUCAGAUGUGCCCUGAGGGGAGUAGACAGUUGGUGGGGUAACGGCUCACCAGGGCGACGAUCCCUAGCGGGACUGAGAGGAUGACCUGCCACACUGGAACUGAGACACGGGCCAGACUCCUAAGUGAGGCAGCAGUGGAGAAUAUGUCACAAUGGGCGAGACCCUGAUGCAGCCAUGCCGCGUGUAUGAAGAAGGCCUUCGGGGUGUAAAGCACUUUCAUCGGGGAGGCGUUACCCGCAGAAGAAGCACCGGCUAACUCCGUGCCAGCAGCCGCGGUAAUAC